rnacentral:rRNA from 1 species
ACUCCUACGGGAGGCAGCAGUGGGGAAUAUUGGACAAUGGGCGAAAGCCUGAUCCAGCCAUGCCGCGUGUGUGAAGAAGGCCUUCGGGUUGUAAAGCACUUUCAGUGAGGAAGAAAGCCUUGAGGUUAAUACCCUUAAGGGAGGACAUCACUCACAGAAGAAGCACCGGCUAACUCCGUGCCAGCAGCCGCGGUAAUACGGAGGGUGCGAGCGUUAAUCGGAAUUACUGGGCGUAAAGCGCGCGUAGGCGGCUUGAUAAGCCGGUUGUGAAAGCCCGGCUG